AUGAACGCUGGCGGCGUGCUUAACACAUGCAAGUCGAACGAUUAAAGCUCACUUCGGUGAGUGUAUAGAGUGGCGAACGGGUGAGUAACACGUGGGAAACCUGCCCCUUUCUUCGGGAUAACUUCGGGAAACCGUUGCUAAUACCGGAUACUCCGGGAUGGUCGCAUGGCCGACCCGGGAAAGGCUUUAUGUGGAAAGGGAUGGUCCCGCGGCCCAUUAGCUUGUUGGUGGGGUAAUGGCCUACCAAGGC
rnacentral:rRNA from 1 species